rnacentral:tRNA from 1 species
ACCUGACUGGCUCAACGGGCAGAGCAUGUGACCUUUGAUCUUGGGACGUUAGGUUCGAGCCCCAAGUUGGGUG